GAGCGAUGGACUUCUUUGAUCAAAGUUAUUUUAGACUCACUAAAGUAUUGAUGUGCUGUAUUGGACAAUGGCCUUAUCAACCCACAUAUCAAAGGAUUAUUAUUUCUAGUUUUAUUUCGUUCAUGCAUAUCACUUUCUUUAUUACAUUGAUUAGCGGUAUUGCAAAUUCAAAUAAUUUCGAUGACUCAAUUAAUAUUUUAACAGCUAUUAUUAUGUCUACAACGUGCUAUUCAAAAUUAAUAAAUUCUGUUCUUCUUAUGAAAGAGAUGAAAUACCUUUUGGGUGAAAUAAAAACAGACUGGUCAAUAGUAUCUGGACCAGAAGUUAAUAUCUUAAAAAAAUUUGCUGUCAGAGGACAAAAAUUAUCAUUGAUGUAUGUUGCUUACAUUUACUUCGUAGUGAGCGUAUAUUUAGUUACUACUUACAUACCACAAAUGCUUAAUAUUAUUAAACCUUUAAAUGUGUCAAGGCCAAGAAAAAGGACUUAUAAAUCAAACUAUUUUAUUGAUGAAGAUAAAUAUUACUAUCAUAUAAACUUUCAUGAACAGAUAACGGUUGUAUUAAAUAUGACAACAUUUUUAACUAUGGAUGCAAUGUAUGUAGUAUACACUGAACAUAUUUGUGGAAUGUUCGCAAUUCUUGGGUAUCGAAUCGAGAAUCUCUUCAAGGACAAAAUUAAUCAUUCUGAAUUGUCAGAAGACUGUUCUCUUCAAGAUGAUGAAAAGCUCACAAAAGAAGUUUCGGGAUGUCUACUCUUACACCAAAAAAAUAUCGAAUAUGCGAAAAAGCUUGGCGCGGCUUUCUCAGCAUCUGUAUUUUGUCAAGUUGGACUCAGUAUGAUUUUACUAAGCAUAACUGGAUACGUGACCAUUAUAAAAUUAGACGCACCAGAUGAAUUUAUGAAAUUCUUCUCGUACGUUUUGGGCCAAAUAGUUUACAUUUUUUAUAUCUGCCUGCCAGGUCAAAAAAUAAUGGACGCCAGUGAAAACAUUGUUAGCGCGCUUUAUAAUUCGCAGUGGUACCUAAUGCCAUUAAAAAUCCGAAGAGAUUUUAUAGUGAUAAUGAUUAGAAGUGCUCGUCCAUGCUGUCUUGAAGCAGGUGGAAUUUUCACACUCUCGCUGUUAACUUUUAGCGUGAACUAUUUGCAGUGUAUCCAGAAAGCAUUCUCCUUUUUUACAAUGAUAAUGAAUGUAAGGGAAAUUUAAUAGGAAAUAUAAACUACAGUAAAGAUAUUUUUUUACAAUAAGCGCACCGCAAAUUCGGCUUGCGCUCCCUUUUGAGUGACAGUGAGGCAAAAAAUGAGACUCGAUUCUGAGGAAACGAUAACACUGGACCUGCAUGAUAAUUCUUUUCAGACUAGAUGGAGCUAUGAAUUAAAAGCUAUUGAAAUUAAAUGUUACCUGAAAAAGAUAUUCUCCUUCGCUCCGCUAGGAAUCGAACCACAGACCUCCCGAUUGCCGGUUGGGUACUUUUCCCUUAAACUACUGGAGAGAUCGAAAGAAGAAUCCUUUUUCAGAAAUACACGCAUUAUUUUGCCAGGAGUUACGUAUUCAACUUUCUCAUGGAAUCUGUAUUAUCUUCAGAGAAUAGCAUACAUUCUUAACGUCUUUUCAGACUAGAUGGAGCUAUACAUGAAAAUUAUUGAAAUUAAAUGUUAUCUGAAAAAGAUGUUCUCCUUCGCUCCGCUGGGAAUCGAACCACAGACUUUCCGAUUUGCAGUUUGGUACUUUUCCCUUAAGCUAGUUGAGAGAUCGAAAAAAGAGUCUUUUUCAGAAAUACACACAUUAUUUUUCCAGGUGUUACGUACUCAAAUUUUGCAAGGAAUCUGUAUUGUCAUCAGAGAAUAACAGAAAUUCUUUAAGUCAUUUCAAACUAGAUGGUGCUACGAAUUUAAAGUUUUUAAAUUAUUUUUUUAAUUUCUAAAAAAGGUCUUCUUUCCGGAAGAGGAUUCUUCGAGCUCUCUAGUAGCUUAAGGGAAAACACCCGACCCGAAAUCGCAAGUUCUAUUUUUCGAUUACCAGCAAAGCGAAGAAGAUCUUUUUUAAAAAAAUCAUAAAAAAAUGGAAACUACGAGGUUAUAUACGGUACUGUUUUAUAUUAUAUAUACAUGUAUAUUAUUUACUGUAGAGGCAGUGAAAGUCGAACUUUCGAUGCGCGUGGUAUGAAAAGGAAUAAAAAAUUUGCGGCACCUCUUUAAAAACAAGAUUUUUAUUGACUAGGAAAUAUAUUUUAACUGAAUUUAUUCAAAGUAGAGGCACGAUUAACCAAAUAAUAAUAUACCAAUAAAGAAAUAAAGAAAAUAAAGUAGUAUAUUUUGCCGGACUUUUUCUGUGAGUAAUGAAAAAACACGAGUCGUAA